GUGUAUAUACCCAGGAACAGGCGAAAAGACAAAGUGUGAGAGAAGCCUUCACAUGGUGCUGGGAAGCGUAGGAGCAUGUUUACAAAUAGUAGAUGGAAGAAUGAGGCCAAGCAAGCAACAAAGCAGAACAUGCUUUAUUUAAGGAUGGCAUGGAAGUGCAGAGGGGAUGUCCCUGGACCCUAAACCACCACAUGAAACCCUUUGCUGAUGCAUGGGGUGCCAAGACCUGCACCACCAUUGCUGAAACCAUCAGCUACCACACGUAGCUUGUUUCUGUCACCCCUUUAUUCCUCUGAAUCCARGAUAUUUUCUUCAAACAGUGCUUCAAGAUAACACUCUGAGCCAAGACUUCUGCAAGAAGCCACUGGAAGCCAUAAAUUCAGGAAUAAAACUCUGGAAAUGCAGUCAGACCUCUCAUAGGCUUCCCUUCAAGCAAGAGAUAGACCCAAGACUGACACACUUAAAAGACAGACCAGAGAGCCACGUAAUAUAGCACUUUCCCUCAUCUUAAUGAUUGGAGGGGUGGGAUGAACAUUAAAAUCCCGAUGCUUAAUCACAUAUGACUUUCCAUCCAUCAUGAGUUUUCUUYACAUUAGGAGAAACAGCCAAAUUCCCACCAAACUGCUCUAUGAAAGGCCACCUGAUGAAGCUCAAACCCUCAUGCCUAGGCAAGUGGGAUGUUGAUAGAGUCAGGCAGCCCAGAAUCUCAUCACUCAGACAUCUGCAGUACCCGAUGCUCUUGCUUGUGUCCCUCAAGACAAUGCCAACGGGGGUUAUUGCGAAGCAGUACCCAAGGCAGGAUCGCUUCUGAUAAUUUGGAUGUGCUGAUGAAGCUUUUGCUAGGAAAAUCCUUAAAUCAAGGAAAAGCUCGAUCUCCAAACUUAUUUGUUCUCCAGAGUAAGUGCCUACAUAUGACUGACUGGAAAUUUGAUAAUCUAUGUGUAGAUACCCAUCUCAGAGUAAUUACUCAAGUCUCCAUSCAACGGACACAUUGCAAAGUGAAUAAUCUGUAUUCCCCAGGCGGAAGCGUCAGGAGGACGAGGAUAAUCCUCUUGACUCUGAAAGGAAACCCAAUCAGAUGUGGUCAGGGCAUUUGACUCUGCCUUUGAUGAGGGAACACUUACUGAAGAAGAACUAUGAUAACCUCCUGACUCCAGAAAAAAUGUUAAAAUGUGGUUCAGCAAGAAUUUCUGAUUGUUUUACUUUACCUUCUGACUCUGGA